rnacentral:rRNA from 1 species
GGCUAUGGCCAUGCUACCCUGAAUAAACCCGAUCCUGUCUGAUCUUGGAAGCUAAGCAGGGUCGGGCCUGGUUAGUACUUGGAUGAGAGACCAUCUAGGAAGACCAGGGGCUGCAGGUG